UGGGGAAUUUUACGCAAUGGGGGAAACCCUGACGUAGCGACACCGCGUGAGCGAAGAAGCCCUUUGGGGUGUAAAGCUCUGUCAACAGGAACGAAACAAAUGACGGUACCUGUGGAGGAAGCAUCGGCUAACUACGUGCCAGCAGCCGCGGUAAGACGUAGGAUGCAAGCGUUGUCCGGAUUUAUUGGGCGUAAAGAGUUCGUAGGCGGUUUGUUAAGUCUGAUGUUAAAGACCGGGGCUCAACCUCGGAAAUGCAUUGGAUACUGGCAGACUGGAGUGCAGUAGAGGCUAGUGGAAUUCCCCAGUGUAGCGGUGAAAUGCGUAGAUAUUGGGAAGAACACCGGUGGCGUAGGCGACUAGCUGGGCUGUAACUGACGCUGAGGAACGAAAGCCAGGGGAGCAAAUGGGAUUAAUACCCCCAGUAGUCCUGGCCGUAAANGAUGGAUACUAGGCGUAGUGGGUAUCGACCCCCUGUGUGCCCGCAGCUAACGCGAUAAGUAUCCCGCCUGAGUAGUACGGCCGCAAGG
rnacentral:rRNA from 1 species